CAGCCGCCACGGUAAUACAGAGGGUGCGAGCGUUAAUCGGAUUUACUGGGCGUAAAGCGUGCGUAGGCGGCUUCUUAAGUCGGAUGUGAAAUCCCUGAGCUUAACUUAGGAAUUGCAUUUGAUACUGGGAAGCUAGAGUAUGGGAGAGGAUGGUAGAAUUCCAGGUGUAGCGGUGAAAUGCGUAGAGAUCUGGAGGAAUACCGAUGGCGAAGGCAGCCAUCUGGCCUAAUACUGACGCUGAGGUACGAAAGCAUGGGGAGCAAACAGGAUUAGAUACCCCGGUAGUCCCUGUCUCUUAUAC
rnacentral:rRNA from 1 species